rnacentral:rRNA from 1 species
UACAGAGGGUGCGAGCGUUAAUCGGAAUUACUGGGCGUAAAGAGCGCGUAGGCGGUAAUGUAAGUCAGGUGUGAAAGACCUUAGCUCAACUAAGGAACUGCAUUUGAUACUGCAUAACUAGAGUAUGGUAGAGGAAAGUGGAAUUUCCGGUGUAGCGGUGAAAUGCGUAGAUACCGGAAGGAACACCAGUGGCGAAGGCGACUUUCUGGACCAAUACUGACGCUGAGGCGCGAAAGCGUGGGGAGCAAACAGG